ACGCUUGGGCAGCAUAUACACUAAAACUGGAACGAUACAGAGACAAUUAGCAUGGACCCUGAGCAAGGAUAAUACGCAAAUUCGUGAAGCAUCCCAUAUCUUG